UGGUAGGCCUGAGUGGAUUUGAACCACCGACCUCACCCUUAUCAGGGGUGUGCUCUAACCAACUGAGCUACAAGCCU
rnacentral:tRNA from 1 species